UACGUAGGUGACCAGCGUUGUCCGGAUUUACUGGGCGUAAAGAGCGCGCAGGCGGUCGUUCAAGUCGAGUGUGAAAGUCCCCGGCUCAACUGGGGAGGGUCACUCGAUACUGAUCGACUUGAAGGCAGGAGAGGGAAGCGGAAUUCCCGGUGUAGUGGUGAAAUGCGUAGAUAUCAGGAGGAACACCGGUGGCGAAGGCGGAUCUCUGGGCCGUAACUGACGCUGAGGAGCGAAAGCAUGGGGAGCGAACAGG
rnacentral:rRNA from 1 species